GGACAACCUGCCCUAAGGUGAGGGAUAACUCCGGGAAACUGGAGAUAAUACCUCAUAGUUUACCAUCGCUGGAAUGCCUGGUAAGCGAAAGGUCCGCCGCCUUAGGAUGGGUCUGCGGCCGAUUAGGUAGUUGUUGGGGUAACGGCCCAACAAGCCUGUAAUCGGUACGGGUUGUGGGAGCAAGAGCCCGGAGAUGGAUUCUGAGACACGAAUCCAGGCCCUACGGGGCGCAGCAGGCGCGAAAACUUUACAAUGCAGGCAACUGUGAUAAGGGAACCCCGAGUGCCCGUAUGGACGGGCUGUUCAGGUGCUUAAAAACCACCUGGAGAAAGGGCCGGGCAAGACCGGUGCCAGCCGCCGCGGUAAUACCGGCGGCUCGAGUGGUGGCCACUAUUACUGGGCUUAAAGCGUCCGUAGCUUGGUCGUUAAGCCUCUGGGGAAAUCUUCCGGCUCAACCGGAAGGCGUCUCAGGGGAACUGGCGACCUAGGGAUCGGGAGAGGUGAGAGGUACUCUGGGGGUAGGAGUGAAAUCCUGUAAUCCUCAGGGGACCACCUGUGGCGAAGGCGUCUCACCAGAACGACUCCGACAGUGAGGGACGAAAGCUGGGGGAGCAAACCGGAUUAGAUACCCGGGUAGUCCCAGCCGUAAACGAUGCGCGUUAGGUGUAUCGGUGACCACGAGUUACCGAGGUGCCGAAGGGGAACCGUGAAACGCGCCGCCUGGGAAGUACGGUCGCAAGGCUGAAACUUAA
rnacentral:rRNA from 1 species